rnacentral:rRNA from 1 species
AUGCUGUCCACCGGCGUUCCCCUCACACUCUCACCGCUCGGCCCUCUCAUCCGCCUCCCGUCCUCUCGGCCGCGGCGCCCUCCCCAUCGCUAUCCCCCAACCCCGGCAGCGACCUCAACAGCCAGAUACCACUCACGCUCCUCAUCGUCCUCCUCGACCUGCUCCUCCCGCCCGCGCUCCUCUCCAACUUCCUCCGCGCCGGCGUCCACCACGCCUCCGCACAUAGCGUCCUCGCCCAGGCCAGGGGCUUCCACUUCCGCUCCUCCCUCGUCGACCUCCGCCCGUGUCCGCCGCCCGCUCCCUCCUCAUCCUCUGCGCGUACACGGCAUGCGGGGGCGGCGCGGCGUACCUGUGGGUGGCGGCGGCCUGCAGUGUCGGCUCCCUCUUCUACGUCCUCGCCAAGGCCGUCGGCAGAUCGGCCGUGCGUAUGAAUCCGUCAAGGCGGAGCAGCGGGUGGGGGAGCGAAAUCAGGCGAUGGCCAGCAAGUCCAGGCAGGUUCCGACCGUGGUCGCCCUCGUACGUCAGUCGGCGGCAUCGGAGCGGUGUCGGAGCCAAGUGUUGGGCAUGUCGCCGAGACUGACCAAGAUGCCGCGACUGCAAGUGCUGGGCAUGUCGCCGAGAAGACCAACAAGCAGUACUAGCUCUGAGUUCCCAAAAUGCCUGACUCCAACGGCAACGGCAUGCACCACAAGGAGGAUGAUGGCCUCUUCACUGACUCCGGCCCCGUCCUCCCCGACUCCUGGUCGUGGCCCUGUGCACGAUAUCGCCCUCCCUCUUCUACUUCUACUACCUACUGUUACUGCUGUUGCCGAUUGGUCUAUGCACGGUGGGUAA